rnacentral:rRNA from 1 species
AUGCGGGUCGAGCUUGUCUCUGUCCCCAAGCUCAGGCAAGUGUGGUGCGAAUCAUGGCGCUGGAGGAACCCUCCGGUGAGCUUCGGCUACGUCCCAGAGCUUCGCCAUGUGACCUUCAGUUCUCAUGCCAUGACGUGGCAGGCGCCAUUCUCACUGAGCGAGUGUCUGUCAAGUAGUGCCAAGAACCUGUCUAUACUCAAUCUUAACUUUUGCUGCCAAAUGAUUUGGAUUAAGCCGGAACAUCCAAAGCACCUCACUGCUAUGUUAAAAAACCUGACGUGUGUGGAACUUCCAGCUAUCUUUCCUGAGUGUGAUCUGAACUGGACCCUAUUUUUCCUCGAAGCUGCACCUGCGCUGCAGAUUUUCAAAUUGUGCCGAGAACGGUAUGCAUGUCUCAGAACGGUCGAGGACAGUGCCGAGAAGACCAAUGUGGUGUGGGACCCAUCCAAGAAUUUGAAGCACCUGAACUUGAAGUCGCUGCUGAUGUCCGGGUUCGAGGAGGAAGACAAGGUGACAAACUACAUAAGGCUAGUCAUGGAGCGAGCUGUGGGAUUGAAGAGAAUCGAGAUGUAUGGUGUACACCCAUGUGAGAAAUGCGAUGCCACUGACCCGACGAGAUCCCAGGUGAAUGAAGCUUGCAGGCGCCGGGUCAAGGAGCGAGUCACACAUGGAUCCUCCUCAACCGUGGAGAUAUUAAUAAUGUGCUGA